GAGAGAAGCAGCGAGAGGGAGGACUGUAUUAUUGCUUAGAAUCAGAGGAGGGGUUAUGGAUUGAUACAAAUAGUCUCCCCCGCCAAGCCAACCCCAGCACAGCCUUGAAUUAAUGUGUUGCUAUUUUUGGGAGCCCCGUGUUUCCAGGGGAGACCUAAUGACGCAAUGACGUCAAUGCGGGUCAAUCGCAGACUGGAGGAAUUGAGUGGCUUCCAUUUGGAGCUUUUGCAGUAUUUCCUACAGAAAGGACGGAAAACGAGUGCAAAAAUCGAAGUGUAUUUCCUCCAAGAAAAGAAAAGAAAAGAAAAAAGCCUCGAAAAUAGUAGGUAAAAAUUAAAAUGCAGAAAUGAAAAUUAUCCCGGUGCCUUCACGUCGCCCCCUUCGAGCAUCAACGAUAGUAAAGGAGCCGUGACCUAUUCCAGGCGCUCGCAUCUAGAAGCACUGAGAUGCUGGUCCAAUACUUUGAUGAUGAUAACCAUGAAUGUUCUGAGGAAUCAUAUUCUUUUCAGGUCUUUUUGCGGUCUGGGCUUGCUGUCGGAUGCCUAUCCAGGAAGCCCUUACCCCAAAAAGCAUCUGCAAGGGAUACUUACAACAGCAGAUUCUUGCUCAUGUUGAUGUUUAAGCAAACAAUGAAAGUGGCUGCAUUUGUAAAACUGUAACUUUUUCUCUUUCCUUAUUAAAGUUAAGCACUGUGUGUUGAA